GUUUAUGAUGAUUGCCUGCUCGGACGCAAACUUUCUAGAUAAGACAGUCGACUGCAUGUUCCAACAGAAAGAAGCCAUCUACAAAAAACUGAACUUGUCCCGUGCCGAGGUAAAAGGAGCAGAGCUUGCUGUCAGCUGCAUGAAGAGCUUUCAUGAAGGAUUGAUACAGAAACGCAAGAAGAACUGAUGUUGGUAGACAACCAUGAUGCGACAGUGCUGCAGUAGGGCUGAAGCCCCCCCCCCCCCCCCUUGCUACACCCCUCACUGUCCAGGAGGGCAGUGGGCAAAAGACUAUUCACAAUGAGGGAUAUGGGGUCCUAAAUCUAGUCCUGAAUAAACUAAGUGAAUACACUAACUGA